UACGGAGGGUGCAAGCGUUGUUCGGAAUCAUUGGGCGUAAAGGGCGCGCAGGUGGCUCUGUAUGUCUGCCGUGAAAGCAUACAGCUCAACUGUAUUGUGUCGGUAGAAACUGCAGGACUUGAGGCUGGGAGGGGCUGGUGGAAUUCCCUGUGUAGCGGUGAAAUGCGUAGAGAUGGGGGAGAACACUCGUGGCGAAGGCGGCCAGCUAGACCAGUUCUGACACUGAGGCGCGACAGCGUGGGGGAGCAAACAGG
rnacentral:rRNA from 1 species